GACGAACGCUGGCGGCGUGCUUAACACAUGCAAGUCGAACGGAAAGGCUCCAGCUUGCUGGAGUACUCGAGUGGCGAACGGGUGAGUAACACGUGGGUAAUCUGCCCUGCACUCUGGGAUAAGCCUGGGAAACUGGGUCUAAUACUGGAUAUGACCUUUCUCCUUAUGGGGUUUGGUGGAAAGUUUUUCGGUGUAGGAUGAGCCCGCGGCCUAUCAGCUUAUUGGUGGGGUGAUGGCCUACCAAGGCGACGACGGGUAGCCGGCCUGAGAGGGUGAUCGGCCACAUUGGGACUGAGAUACGGCCCAGACUCCUACGGGAGGCAGCAGUGGGGAAUAUUGCACAAUGGGCGGAAGCCUGAUGCAGCGACGCCGCGUGAGGGAUGACGGCCUUCGGGUUGUAAACCUCUUUCAGCAGGGACGAAGCGUAAGUGACGGUACCUGCAGAAGAAGCACCGGCUAACUAUGUG
rnacentral:rRNA from 1 species